UACAGAGGGUGCAAGCGUUAAUCGGAAUUACUGGGCGUAAAGGGCGCGUAGGCGGCCUUCUAAGUCAGACGUGAAAUCCCCAGGCUUAACUUGGGAACUGCGUCUGAUACUGGGAGGCUUGAGUGCGGGAGAGGGAUGUGGAAUUCCAGGUGUAGCGGUGAAAUGCGUAGAUAUCUGGAGGAACACCGGUGGCGAAGGCGGCAUCCUGGACCGACACUGACGCUGAGGCGCGAAAGCUAGGGGAGCAAACGGG
rnacentral:rRNA from 1 species